rnacentral:rRNA from 1 species
UUUAACUCCUAAGCCAUUAAAAGCAUCAGAUCCCAUCCAAUCUUGGAAGCUAAGCAAGGUCAUCCCUGGUUAGUUUUUAGAUGGGAGACUACCAAUAAAUACCAGGUAGGCUUUAAGC